rnacentral:lncRNA from 1 species
UCCACCAAUGGUGGCAUCAUCAGUCCGAGCAUGAGGGACAACUGUCAUCGUCUUCAGCCCCAGUCCUCUUUAUCGCUAACUGAGCAGGCUGGUCUUCGUCUUCAUUCUCUGCUUAUGCUUGUGGUACGUUAACAAAGCUUCCUGUUAACUCACUAUUGCUGGGCUUACUGAAUAGUCUUCAGCAACACCUCUUCUUCAUCCUCUUUCUUCUUCUUGCUUCUUGAUUUCUUUGGCCAUGGAACUUCUACUCUUAUUACUGAGUUAAGAGGUUUUGGGAAGCCUCCACUGCUGCUGAUCGUCGUCUUUGGGAGUUCCGCCGCUUUCGCUACUCCCGACUUGGAACUUUUGGUGGUCGUCUUCGCUUUGGGCUGCGUACUUUUUUUUAGCUAUGGAAUAGGAAUAUCCUGAUAUUUGU